UAGUGGAACUGAUACAAAAUCAGCUUACGCAUCAAGGCAAUUAACGCAUUGGCGAGCCUAAAAACCGUCAUAGUCGACAUUCAAUUACUUGUGUGGGGUGCAUUUUUGUAUCAGCUGGUUAACAUCAAUUUUGACUGUCAUAAAAAGGCUAAAGGAGAUGUGGCUCCUUCGGGAGUGUGAUAACCUUUAGCGGAAUAUGGUGGUCGGGAUUGAGGCUUGCAACGAAUACCUUCAGGGCUGUUCCACCUGGCUUCUCAUUGGUAUCCUGGUGACGACAGCUUGCUGACGUCGUUAGGAUUCGCCAUUGAACAGGCUAGAGUGUGAGCAAA
rnacentral:rRNA from 1 species